UGUAGAACAGGUACAAUAUUAAAGUGUGAGAAGAUGUUAAUUUAGACUGUGUUCAUGGUGACUUUGAAGUCCUUGGCAUUCAAUUAAAUGCAAAUUUAGAAAGACUAUGGGUUAUCAACACCAGAAAAAGACUAGAAAAUAUUAAGUGAUUUUUAGCAAAUUGGCGUAAACGUAAAUUGACAUUAAUUGGAAA